rnacentral:rRNA from 1 species
GGUUAAGUUAGAAAGGGCGCACGGUGAAUGCCUUGGCACUAGGAGCCGAUGAAGGACGGGACUAACACCGAUAUGCUUCGGGGAGCUGUAAGUGAGCUUUGAUCCGGAGAUUUCCGAAUGGGGAAACCCACUGUUCGUAAUGGAACAGUAUCUUUAUCUGAAUACAUAGGAUAUUGAAGGCAGACCCGGGGAACUGAAACAUCUAAGUACCCGGAGGAAGAGAAAGCAAAUGCGAUUUCCUGAGUAGCGGCGAGCGAAACGGAAUUAGCCCAAACCAAGAGGCUUGCCUCUUGGGGUUGUAGGACACUCUAUACGGAGUUACAAAGGAACGAAGUAAAUGAAGCGACCUGGAAAGGUCCGUCAAAGAAGGUAACAACCCUGUAGUUGAAACUUCGUUCCCUCUUGAGUGGAUCCUGAGUACGGCGGAACACGUGAAAUUCCGUCGGAAGCUGGGAGGACCAUCUCCCAAGGCUAAAUACUACCUAGUGACCGAUAGUGAACCAGUACCGUGAGGGAAAGGUGAAAAGCACCCCGGAAGGGGAGUGAAAGAGAUCCUGAAACCGUGUGCCUACAAGUAGUCAGAGCCCGUUAAUGGGUGAUGGCGUGCCUUUUGUAGAAUGAACCGGCGAGUUACGAUCCCAUGCAAGGUUAAGCUGAUAAGGCGGAGCCGUAGCGAAAGCGAGUCUGAAUAGGGCGUUUAGUAUGUGGUUGUAGACCCGAAACCAGGUGAUCUACCCAUGUCCAGGGUGAAGUUCAGGUAACACUGAAUGGAGGCCCGAACCCACGCACGUUGAAAAGUGCGGGGAUGAGGUGUGGGUAGCGGAGAAAUUCCAAUCGAACCUGGAGAUAGCUGGUUCUCUCCGAAAUAGCUUUAGGGCUAGCCUCAUGUUGUGAGAGUCUUGGAGGUAGAGCACUGAUUGGACUAGGGGCCCCCAACGGGUUACCGAAUUCAGUCAAACUCCGAAUGCCAAAGACUUAUCCAUGGGAGUCAGACUGCGAGUGAUAAGAUCCGUAGUCAAAAGGGAAACAGCCCAGACCACCAGCUAAGGUCCCCAAGUAUACGUUAAGUGGAAAAGGAUGUGGAGUUGCUUAGACAACCAGGAUGUUGGCUUAGAAGCAGCCACCAUUUAAAGAGUGCGUAAUAGCUCACUGGUCGAGUGACUCUGCGCCGAAAAUGUACCGGGGCUAAACGUAUCACCGAAGCUGUGGAUUGACAUCUUUGAUGUCAGUGGUAGGAGAGCGUUCUAAGUGCUGUGAAGUCAGACCGUAAGGACUGGUGGAGCGCUUAGAAGUGAGAAUGCCGGUAUGAGUAGCGAAAGACAAGUGAGAAUCUUGUCCACCGAAUGCCUAAGGUUUCCUGAGGAAGGCUCGUCCGCUCAGGGUUAGUCGGGACCUAAGCCGAGGCUGAAAAGCGUAGGCGAUGGCCAACAGGUUGAUAUUCCUGUACCACCUCCCCGCCGUUUGAGUAAUGGGGGGACGCAGUAGGAUAGGGUAAGCGCGCUGCUGGAUAUGCGCGUUCAAGCAGUUAGGCUGAUGAGUAGGCAAAUCCGCUCAUCAUAAAGGCUGAGCUGUGAUGACGAGGGAAUUAUAGUACCGAAGUUCCUGAUUCCACACUGCCAAGAAAAGCCUCUAGCGAGGCGGGAGGUGCCCGUACCGCAAACCGACACAGGUAGGCGAGGAGAGAAUCCUAAGGUGAUCGAGAGAACUCUCGUUAAGGAACUCGGCAAAAUGACCCCGUAACUUCGGGAGAAGGGGUGCUCUGGUAGGGUGUAUAGCCCGAGAGAGCCGCAGUGAAUAGGCCCAGGCGACUGUUUAGCAAAAACACAGGUCUCUGCGAAGCCGCAAGGCGAAGUAUAGGGGCUGACGCCUGCCCGGUGCUGGAAGGUUAAGAGGAGGGGUUAUCCUUUGGGAGAAGCUCUGAAUCGAAGCCCCAGUAAACGGCGGCCGUAACUAUAACGGUCCUAAGGUAGCGAAAUUCCUUGUCGGGUAAGUUCCGACCCGCACGAAAGGCGUAACGAUCUGGGCACUGUCUCAACGAGAGACUCGGUGAAAUUAUAGUACCUGUGAAGAUGCAGGUUACCCGCGACAGGACGGAAAGACCCCGUGGAGCUUUACUGUAGCCUGAUAUUGAAUUUUGGUACAGCUUGUACAGGAUAGGUAGGAGCCUAAGAAGCCGGAGCGCUAGCUUCGGUGGAGGCGUCGGUGGGAUACUACCCUGGCUGUAUUGAAAUUCUAACCCGCGGCCCUGAUCGGGCCGGGAGACAGUGUCAGGUGGGCAGUUUGACUGGGGCGGUCGCCUCCUAAAAUGUAACGGAGGCGCCCAAAGGUUCCCUCAGAAUGGUUGGAAAUCAUUCGUAGAGUGUAAAGGCACAAGGGAGCUUGACUGCGAGACCUACAAGUCGAGCAGGGACGAAAGUCGGGCUUAGUGAUCCGGUGGUUCCGCAUGGAAGGGCCAUCGCUCAACGGAUAAAAGCUACCCCGGGGAUAACAGGCUUAUCUCCCCCAAGAGUCCACAUCGACGGGGAGGUUUGGCACCUCGAUGUCGGCUCAUCGCAUCCUGGGGCUGUAGUCGGUCCCAAGGGUUGGGCUGUUCGCCCAUUAAAGCGGUACGCGAGCUGGGUUCAGAACGUCGUGAGACAGUUCGGUCCCUAUCCGUCGUGGGCGUAGGAAAUUUGAGAGGAGCUGUCCUUAGUACGAGAGGACCGGGAUGGACACACCGCUGGUGUACCAGUUGUCUUGCCAAAGGCAUCGCUGGGUAGCUAUGUGUGGACGGGAUAAGUGCUGAAAGCAUCUAAGCAUGAAGCCCCCCUCAAGAUGAGAUUUCCCAUAGCGCAAGCUAGUAAGAUCCCUGAAAGAUGAUCAGGUUGAUAGGUCAGAGGUGGAAGCGUGGCGACAUGUGUAGCUGACUGAUACUAAUCGAUCGAGGACUUAACCAA